rnacentral:rRNA from 1 species
GCACCUGCGGUAAUUCCAGCUCCAAUAGCGUAUAUUAAAGUUGUUGCGGUUAAAAAGCUCGUAGUUGGAUUUCUGCCGAGGACGACCGGUCCGCCCUCUGGGUGCGUAUCUGGCUCGGCUUGGGCAUCUUCUUGGAGAACGUAUCUGCACUUGACUGUGUGGUGCGGUAUCCAGGACUUUUACUUUGAGGAGAUUAGAGUGUUUCAAGCAGGCACACGCCUUGAAUACAUUAGCAUGGAAUAAUAAGAUAGGACCUCGGUUCUAUUUUGUUGGUUUCUAGAGCUGAGGUAAUGAUUAAUAGGGAUAGUUGGGGGCAUUCGUAUUUAACUGUCAGAGGUGAAAUUCUUGGAUUUGUUAAAGACGGACCACUGCGAAAGCAUUUGCCAAGGAUGUUUUCAUUGAUCAAGAACGAAAGU